UACAGAGGCCUCAAGCGUUACCCGGAAUCACUGGGCGUAAAGGGUGUGCAGGUGGCGAUGUUAGUCGAGCGUAAAAGCCCGUGGGCUUAACCCAUGGAAUGCGUUCGAAACGGCAUUGCUUAGAGGGUGUGAGAGGUGAAUGGAACUCAUGGUGUAGGGGUGAAAUCCGUUGAUAUCAUGGGGAACACCAAAUGCGAAGGCAAUUCACUGGCACAUUCCUGACACUGAGACACGAAAGCGUGGGUAGCGAACGGG
rnacentral:rRNA from 1 species